GUCUUAUUGAAAAUAAUUUUAAGUCUAAUCUGCCCAAUGAAUAAUUGAUUAAAUGGCUGCAGUAUUUUAACUGUACAAAGGUAGCAUAGUCAUUAGUUUCUUAAUUAGGGACUGGAAUGAAUGAUUGAACGAGAUGAUAACUGUCUUAAUUUAAAUAAAAGAAUUUUAUUUUUAAGUUAGAAAGCUUAAAUAUAGUUAAAAGACGAGAAGACCCUAUAGAAUUUUAUAUACUUAUUUUAUAUUUAUUAUAGAAUAAUAAUUUUUUAUUUAAAUACUUAUAUUUAAUUGGGGUGAUUGAAAAAUUUAUUAAACUUUUUUUUAUAAAAUUCAUUAUUUUAUGUUUGUUUGAUCCAAUAAUUUUGAUUAUAAGAUUAAAUUACCUUAGGGAUAACAGCGUAAUUUUAUUUGAGAGUUCUAAUCGAUAAUAGAGAUUGCGACCUCGAUGUUGGAUUAAAGUUAAUUUUUAAUGUAGGAGUUAAAAUAUUAGGUCUGUUCGACCUUUAAUACUUUACAUGAUCUGAGUUUAAACCGGUGUGAGCCAGGUUGGAUUCUAUCUUUAAUCUAAUUAAAUAUUUUAGUACGAAAGGACCACAUAUUUGUUAAAUUAAUUUUUAAUAGAAUUAUA
rnacentral:rRNA from 1 species